rnacentral:piRNA from 1 species
UGCGUUUGUAGUUUGAAUUUUAAACAAG